rnacentral:piRNA from 1 species
UCACACAGCCUGUUGAUUUCAUUGGAG